rnacentral:rRNA from 1 species
AAACGACUCUCGGCAACGGAUAUCUCGGCUCUUGCAUCGAUGAAGAACGUAGCGAAAUACGAUACUUGGUGUGAAUUGCAGAAUCCCGUGAACCAUCGAGUCUUUGAACGCAAGUUGCGCCCGAAGCCAUUAGGCCGAGGGCACGCCUGCCUGGGUGUCACAC